AUAAUGGGUCAGCGACUUAUAUUCUGUAGCAAGGUUAACCGAAUAGGGGAGCCGAAGGGAAACCGAGUCUUAACUGGGCGUUAAGUUGCAGGGUAUAGACCCGAAACCCGGUGAUCUAGCCAUGGGCAGGUUGAAGGUUGGGUAACACUAACUGGAGGACCGAACCGACUAAUGUUGAAAAAUUAGCGGAUGACUUGUGGCUGGGGGUGAAAGGCCAAUCAAACCGGGAGAUAGCUGGUUCUCCCCGAAAGCUAUUUAGGUAGCGCCUCGUGAAUUCAUCUCCGGGGGUAGAGCACUGUUUCGGCAAGGGGGUCAUCCCGACUUACCAACCCGAUGCAAACUGCGAAUACCGGAGAAUGUUAUCACGGGAGACACACGGCGGGUGCUAACGUCCGUCGUGAAGAGGGAAACAACCCAGACCGCCAGCUAAGGUCCCAAAGUCAUGGUUAAGUGGGAAACGAUGUGGGAAGGCCCAGACAGCCAGGAUGUUGGCUUAGAAGCAGCCAUCAUUUAAAGAAAGCGUAAUAGCUCACUGGUCGAGUCGGCCUGCGCGGAAGAUGUAACGGGGCUAAACCAUGCACCGAAGCUGCGGCAGCGACGCUGAUGCGUUGUUGGGUAGGGGAGCGUUCUGUAAGCCUGUGAAGGUGUGCUGUGAGGCAUGCUGGAGGUAUCAGAAGUGCGAAUGCUGACAUAAGUAACGAUAAAGCGGGUGAAAAGCCCGCUCGCCGGAAGACCAAGGGUUCCUGUCCAACGUUAAUCGGGGCAGGGUGAGUCGACCCCUAAGGCGAGGCCGAAAGGCGUAGUCGAUGGGAAACAGGUUAAUAUUCCUGUACUUGGUGUUACUGCGAAGGGGGGACGGAGAAGGCUAUGUUGGCCGGGCGACGGUUGUCCCGGUUUAAGCGUGUAGGCUGGUUUUCCAGGCAAAUCCGGAAAAUCAAGGCUGAGGCGUGAUGACGAGGCACUACGGUGCUGAAGCAACAAAUGCCCUGCUUCCAGGAAAAGCCUCUAAGCAUCAGGUAACAUCAAAUCGUACCCCAAACCGACACAGGUGGUCAGGUAGAGAAUACCAAGGCGCUUGAGAGAACUCGGGUGAAGGAACUAGGCAAAAUGGUGCCGUAACUUCGGGAGAAGGCACGCUGAUAUGUAGGUGAAGUCCCUCGCGGAUGGAGCUGAAAUCAGUCGAAGAUACCAGCUGGCUGCAACUGUUUAUUAAAAACACAGCACUGUGCAAACACGAAAGUGGACGUAUACGGUGUGACGCCUGCCCGGUGCCGGAAGGUUAAUUGAUGGGGUCAGCGCAAGCGAAGCUCUUGAUCGAAGCCCCGGUAAACGGCGGCCGUAACUAUAACGGUCCUAAGGUAGCGAAAUUCCUUGUCGGGUAAGUUCCGACCUGCACGAAUGGCGUAAUGAUGGCCAGGCUGUCUCCACCCGAGACUCAGUGAAAUUGAACUCGCUGUGAAGAUGCAGUGUACCCGCGGCAAGACGGAAAGACCCCGUGAACCUUUACUAUAGCUUGACACUGAACAUUGAGCCUUGAUGUGUAGGAUAGGUGGGAGGCUUUGAAGUGUGGACGCCAGUCUGCAUGGAGCCGGCCUUGAAAUACCACCCUUUAAUGUUUGAUGUUCUAACGUUGACCCGUGAUCCGGGUUGCGGACAGUGUCUGGUGGGUAGUUUGACUGGGGCGGUCUCCUCCUAAAGAGUAACGGAGGAGCACGAAGGUUGGCUAAUCCUGGUCGGACAUCAGGAGGUUAGUGCAAUGGCAUAAGCCAGCUUGACUGCGAGCGUGACGGCGCGAGCAGGUGCGAAAGCAGGUCAUAGUGAUCCGGUGGUUCUG
rnacentral:rRNA from 1 species